AGUGAACGCCGGCGGUAGGCCUAACACAUGCAAGUCGAACGGCAGCACAGUAAGAGCUCGCCCUUACGGGUGGCGAGUGGCGGACGGGUGAGGAAUACAUCGGAAUCUACUUUUUCGUGGGGGAUAACGUAGGGAAACUUACGUUACUACCGCAUACGUCCUACGGGUGAAAGCAGGGGAUCUUCGGACUUUGCGCGAUUGAAUGAGCCGAUUUCGGAUUAGCUAGUUGGCGGGGUAAAGGCCCACCAAGGCGACGAUCCGUAGCUGGUCUGAGAGGAUGAUCAGCCACACUGGAACUGAGACACGGUCCAGACUCCUACGGGAGGCAGCAGUGGGGAAUAUUGGACAAUGGGCGCAAGCCUGAUCCAGCCAUACCGCGUGGGUGAAGAAGACCUUCGGGUUGUAGAGCCCUUUUGUUGGGAAAGAAGAGCAGCAGAAUAAUACGCCGCUGUUGUGACGGUACCCAAAGAAUAAGCACCGGCUAACUUCGUG
rnacentral:rRNA from 1 species